rnacentral:rRNA from 1 species
UAAACUAGGAUUUAGAUACCCUAUUAUACUAGAGCGAAAAAGCAACGAUCUUGAGUAAUAAAAAUAAAUUAGUUUGAAAUUCAAAGAGUUUGGCGGUAUUUUAGUCCAGCUAGAGGAACCUGUUUUAUAAAUGAUACUCCACGUAAUAUCUUUCUUGCCCUCAGAAUUAGUAUACCAUCAUUAUUAGAUAAUUUGGUUGAUAAAAAUUAUUGGGGUUAGUCUUUACUAAAUAUAUUAGAUCACGGUGCUGUCUAUGGGUAAGUACAAAUGGGUUACAAUAAAUUAUAAUUUAUUACGGAGCUAUUAGUGAAAUAAAAUAGUGAAGGAGGAUUUAAUAGUAAUAUAAGUUUAAUAUGCUUAUGUGAGACAGGCUCUAAAAUGUGUACAUAUUGCCCGUCGCUUUCAUAAAUAAGUGAGAUAAGUCGUAACAUAGUAGAUGUACUGGAAAGUGCAUA